GUCUUUAAGAAAUUAAUUUAAAGUCAAAUCUGCCCACUGAUUUAAAAUUAAAUGGCUGCAGAAUUAAUAACUGUACAAAGGUAGCAUAAUAAUUUGUUUUUUAAUUAAAAACUAGAAUGAAUGAUUUAAUGAAAUAUUAACUCUAUCAAAUAAAAAAAUUCAAUUUUUUAUUUAAGUAAAAAAACUUAAAUAUAUAAAAAAGACGACAAGACCCUAUAGAAUUUUAUUUUAUUUUAAAAAUAAAUAAUAUUUAUAAAUAAAUUUUUAAAAUUAAAUUUAAUUGGGGUAAUAAAAAAAUUAAAUAAAUUUUUUUAUAAAUUUAACAUAAAUUUAUGAAUAAAAUAUCUUAAAAUAUAAAUUAAUAAAAUUAAUUACCUUAGGGAUAACAGCAUAAUUUUUUUUAAAAGAUCAUAUUUAUAAAAAAGAUUAU
rnacentral:rRNA from 1 species